UACGUAGGGGGCAAGCGUUGUCCGGAUUUAUUGGGCGUAAAGAGCUCGUAGGCGGUGUGUCGCGUCGGCCGUGAAAACCUGCAGCUUAACUGUGGGCUUGCGGUCGAUACGGGCAUCACUGGAGUUCGGCAGGGGAGACUGGAAUUCCUGGUGUAGCGGUGAAAUGCGCAGAUAUCAGGAGGAACACCUAUGGCGAAGGCAGCCCCCUGGGCUGAGAUUGACGCUCAGGCACGAAAGCUGGGGAGCAAACAGG
rnacentral:rRNA from 1 species